UUGUGAUUUGAGCUUCUAUUAUUUAGAGCUUACUGGAUGAUAGAUAUCAUGAAAUAUCUUAUUGUAGGAAUUGUAUUUAAAGAGAUUAAUCUGCUUAAUUUAUCUGAGCAACACGUGUGCAGUUUGCACGCAAGCAAAAGCUCGAAUUUGAGGAGCUGUUAGCGGCUAUUUUGGUCAUUUUUUACAGUGUGAAUGACCGGAAUUCUAAUUUAAUUGCCAAAAUAACAGCUAAUCCAUCGUGUUACUGGUCUGAGGCAGCAUGCAGAUAACAGACGCUUACCUGUGACCAGCAGCUGUGUCCAUAUCAGACACAAGACGAGGAACAUGCUUGCAGCGUGAGGGAGGAGACGCUGCCAGAGCUCCGGAGAUCCGCUCCAACACACCGGCCCCCUGCGACGAUCCUUCGCCGCCCCUUCGGUGUCCUACAGCGGCCUGGCUAGAAGAGGAAAUGCCACAAUGCUGCAGCAGCUCCGAGGGAAGGAGGUUUUUUCCAUGUGCUUCAGAGAGGACAGAGAGGUGUGUGUGGCGCGAUGAGGGGCAGGUGGAGGCUGGUGAUGAUGAAGAGCCAGAGAGGAAGUGGGGAGAAGAGGCGUGGUGGAGUAGAGAGGAAGAGGAGGAUUAAUCCUUUACAUCUUCACUACUGACAUUCCACAUUCAUGUUUUCUACUGAAGUGUCAAUAUGAAUAAAUACAUUGUUUUUUCGCCA